UAGGGAAUCUUGCGCAAUGGGCGAAAGCCUGACGCAGCAACGCCGCGUGGGGGAUGAAGGCCCUCGGGUUGUAAACCCCUAUCAGCAGGAACGAAUCUGACGGUACCUGCAGAAGAAGGCCCGGCUAACUACGUGCCAGCAGCCGCGGUAACACGUAGGGGCCAAGCGUUGGCCGGAUUCAUUGGGCGUAAAGAGCUCGCAGGCGGUUCAGUUAGACGGGUGUGAAAUCUCCGGGCUCAACUCGGAGGGGCCACCCGAUACUGCUGUGACGCGAGUCCGGUAGGGGAGUGGGGAAUUCCUGGUGUAGCGGUGAAAUGCGCAGAGAUCAGGAGGAACACCGGUGGCGAAGGCGCCACUCUGGGCCGGUACUGACGCUGAGGAGCGGAGGCGUGGGGAGCAGACAGG
rnacentral:rRNA from 1 species